rnacentral:rRNA from 1 species
AACACGGGGGGAGCAAGCGUUGUUCGGAAUCACUGGGCGUAAAGGGCGUGUAGGCGGUCGAGUGAGUGGAAUGUGAAAUGCCCCGGCUUACCCGGGGACCGGCAUCCCAUACUGCUCGGCUUGAGUACGGGAGAGGAUGGAGGAAUUCCUGGUGUAGCGGUGAAAUGCGUAGAUAUCAGGAGGAACACCGGUGGCGAAGGCGUCCAUCUGGCCCGAUACUGACGCUGAGGCGCGAAAGCUAGGGGAGCGAACG